GGAGGAAGAAGAAGAAGAAGAAGCAUAACCACGAUUUUGCGAAAAUCCAAGGAAGAAGAAGAAACAAAAUGAAAUAUAGCAAGUUGGUGGCAGUAAAUUGAUGGCAAUAAAUUGGAGUGAAAGUAAUUGGUGGAGUAAUUAGGUGACUUUACUAUAUUGGUGGCUGGUGACAAUAAAUUGGAGUACUUGAUGGAGUAAUUAGUUGACUUUACUAUGUUAGUGGAGUCAUUAGUGGCAGUAAUUAUAAUAAAUACAAUUCCAUAAAACAAUUAUAAUAAAGACAAAGUAAUUUAUAAGCAGAUUUGAAAAUUAUAUUUUUCUAGUAGUUAAUAAUAAUAAUAAUAAUAAUA
rnacentral:misc_RNA from 1 species